rnacentral:rRNA from 1 species
GUCAAUUAAGGUCCCAAAGAUAUAGUUAAGUGGAAAACGAUGUGAUUUUGCGUAAACAACCAGGAUGUUGGCUUAGAAGCAGCCAUUCAUUUAAAGAGUGCGUAAUAGCUCACUGGUCGAGUGAAGUUGCGCGGAAAAUUACCGGGGCUAAACUAUACACCGAAAUUGCGGAUUUAUAGUUGAAAGACACUGCAAGUGGUAGAGGAGCAUUCCAUAGUAGGACGAAGCUAAAGCGAGAGCAUUAGUGGACGAGAUGGAAGAGAGAAUGCUGGAAUAAGUAGCGAGAGCAAGGUGAGAAUCCUUGCCGUCGAAAGUCUAAGGUUUCCUGGGGAAGGUUCGUCCGCCCAGGGUAAGUCGGGACCUAAGGUGAGGCUGAAAAGCGUAGCCGAUGGACAGCAGGUUGAGAUUCCUGCACUAUAGAUAUACUUAAAAGAUGCAAGGGACGCAGGAGUGGAAGAUAAGCGAGGAAGAGGAAAGACUCGUAUCGCAAGAUAUAGUGAAAAUAAAGUAACGAAUUAUCAAGAAGCACACUGACGAGAAAAGCUUGUAGAAAUUGUAUAUAAAUACCCGUACCGCAAACCGACACAGGUAGAUGAGGAGAGGAUCCUAAGACGAGCGGGAGAAGCAUUGUUAAGGAACUCGGCAAAUUGACCCCGUAACUUAGGGAGAAGGGGUGCCAAGGUAGAACUUGGCCGCAGUGAAGAGGUUCAAGCAACUGUUUAACAAAAACACAGGUUUCUGCUAAAUCGAAAGAUGAAGUAUAGGAGCUGACGCCUGCCCAGUGCUGGAAGGUCAAGGGGAAAUGUUAGCAGUAAUGCGAAGCAUAGAACCAAAGCCCCAGUGAACGGCGGCCGUAACUAUAACGGUCCUAAGGUAGCGAAAUUCCUUGUCAGGUAAGUUCUGACCCGCACGAAAGGCGUAAUGAUUUGGGCACUGUCUCGACAAUGUACCCGGCGAAAUUGUAGUACUAGUGAAGAUGCUAGUUACCUGCGACAAGACAGAAAGACCCCAUGGAGCUUUACUGCAGCUUGAUACUGGGUUUUGGUAAUUUAUGUACAGGAUAGGUGGGAUACAUUGAAGCAAGGGCGCCAGCUUUUGUGGAGUAGACGUUGGGAUACCACUCUUAAAUUAUUGAAAUUCUAACCUGUGAUCAUGAACUGGUCAGGGGACAAUGUCAGGCGGGCAGUUUGACUGGGGCGGUCGCCUCCUAAAGAGUAACGGAGGCGCCCAAAGGUUUCCUCAGCACGGACAGAAAUCGUGCAAAAGAGUGUAAAGGCAGAAGGAAGCUUAACUGGGAGACUGACAAGUCGAGCAGAUACGAAAGUAGGUCUUAGUGAUCCGGCGGUAGUGAGUGGAAAUGCCGUCGCUCAACGGACAAAAGUUACCCUGGGGAUAACAGGCUUAUCUCCCCCAAGAGUUCACAUCGACGGGGAGGUUUGGCACCUCGAUGUCGGCUCAUCGCAUCCUGGAGCGGAAGUACGUUCCAAGGGUUGGGCUGUUCGCCCAUUAAAGCGGUACGCGAGCUGGGUUCAGAACGUCGUGAGACAGUUCGGUCCUUAUCUGUCGCAGGCGUAAGAUAUUUGAAGGGAGCUGUCCUUAGUACGAGAGGACCAGGAUGGACAUACCGAUGGUGUAUCAGUUGUCACACCAGUGGCACGGCUGAGUAGCUAAGUAUGGAAGGGAUAAACGCUGAAAGCAUCUAAGUGUGAAGCCCACCUUAAGAUAAGAUAUCCCAUUGC